rnacentral:rRNA from 1 species
AGUGAACGCUGGCGGUAGGCCUAACGCAUGCAAGUCCAACGGCAGCACAGUAAGAGCUUGCUCUUACGGGUGGCGAGUGGCGGACGGGUGAGGAAUACAUCGGAAUCUACUUUUUCGUGGGGGAUAACGUAGGGAAACUUACGCUAAUACCGCAUACGACCUACGGGUGAAAGCAGGGGAUCUUCGGACCUUGCGCGAUUGAAUGAGCCGAUGUCGGAUUAGCUAGUUGGCGGGGUAAAGGCCCACCAAGGCGACGAUCCGUAGCUGGUCUGAGAGGAUGAUCAGCCACAAUGGAACUGAGACACGGUCCAGACUCCUACGGGAGGCAGCAGUGGGGAAUAUUGGACAAUGGGCGCAAGCCUGAUCCAGCCAUACCGCGUGGGUGAAGAAGGCCUUCGGGUUGUAAAGCCCUUUUGUUGGGAAAGAAAAGCAGCAGGUUAAUACCCCGCUGUUCUGACGGUACCCAAAGAAUAAGCACCGGCUAACUUCGUG